rnacentral:lncRNA from 1 species
UAUAUGUAUUACCUGAAAGCUGAGGGCAGCUGUUGCCUUGGGUCAUGCAGAGAAUAUGCAGCCACACCCAUGCCUUAGAUGUGUGUAAUUCAAGUGGAGAAGACACAAGCCAGUGGUCGCAAUAUCAACACUUGAGUGUUCUGUAAACGAUUAAUGUUUGCCAUGUGCAAGGAAAUGGCAGAGGCAAAAUGCUGCCAGCUUAUGGAAAAAUAAUUUAUAAAAAAAUGAUGGGUUAGUUCUGCCAAAUUUGAGAUUGGUGUCAGCAGAAAACCAACAGUGAUGUGGUGGCACACAGUGAACUGACCAGACCCAGGCAGCAGCGGCUCUUUUGGUGGCAAUGGUGCCACGUCAUGGGUACUCUCCUUGCUGAUGGCAGAUACCGACAGGCAAACUGUUGCCUUGCGUUUAGCUCUGUUAACCAUUGACAGCAAGAUUUAUCAGAGGUUGCACAUGGCCAUGAGGUAAACCCUGCCCCUGGUUGAAAUUGAGUUUCAUCAGCUUCUACAUGGGAUUGUAAGGACUUGGAAUAUAUCACAAACCCAGCAGGGUUCCCCCCUCUUUUUUUUAAGAUUUAUUUUUCUUCCUAAAGAUAACAUGCUUAAACAAAGUUCUUUAUGGUUAGUAACUGUGAUGCUUGAAGUUGGUUAUCCUUUACUCCAGUAAAUUUUAAAUGUCAAAGAUAUCUUGUUAAAUAAAAAAAAAAGUAUC